rnacentral:snRNA from 1 species
AUACUUACAUGGCAGGGGAAAUAUAAUGAUCAUGAAGGUGGUUUUUCAAGGUGAGGCUUAUCCAUUGCAUUCCAGAUGUGCUGACCCCUGUGAUUUCCACAUUGUGGGAAACAUGAAAAUGCAUUCUC